rnacentral:rRNA from 1 species
GACAGCAGCAGCCACGGUAAUACGUAGGGUGCAAGUGUUAAUCGGAAUUACUGGGCGUAAAGCGUGCGCAGGCGGUGUUGUAAGACUGAUGUGAAAUCCCCGGGCUCAACCUGGGAACUGCAUUGGUGACUGCAACGCUGGAGUGCGGCAGAGGGGGAUGGAAUUCCGCGUGUAGCAGUGAAAUGCGUAGAGAUCGGAAGGAACAUCUGUGGCGAAGGCGACUAUCUGGGCCAACACUGACACUGAGGCACGAAAGCGUGGGGAGCAAACAGGAUUAGAUACCCCGGUAGUCCCUGUCUCUUAUAC